rnacentral:sRNA from 15 species
CCGCCCGGCACCGCCCGCCGAACCGUGGCGCAGGCCAAUAUCCGCCGGUUCGGCGGGGCUGCGGUCCUUGCCCGGAUUUUGGGCAGCGUGCACCAGCAGGCGACAAAUCGGCAGGAAUCGCUGGCGGAAAAGCCCGCUCCGUCA